AAGUCGUAACAAGGUUUCCGUAGGUGAACCUGCGGAAGGAUCAUUAAUAAAUAAAGGGAGCAAUCUCUUUUUAUUCGCAACACUGUGAACUGCAUUUUGAAUAGCAAUGCUAUUCUAAUUGAUUGCUUGUUUUUUGAUGGCUUGGGCUUGGCUUUGUUUUGUGAAAAGCAGAGCAGAGCAGAGCAGAGCAGAGCAGAAAAAGACAAGCAACGUGUUCAAACACACAAGUAUUGUAAUUUGUAAAAGUUCUAAUAACGUUGUUUUUAACUUUAAAUUUUUAACAACUGUUGGCAACGGAUC
rnacentral:misc_RNA from 1 species